AGCAGCCGCGGUAAUUCCAGCUCCAAUAGCGUAUAUUAAAGUUGUUGCAGUUAAAAAGCUCGUAGUUGAAUUUCGGGGUCAGUAGGUCGGUCGUGCCACAGGUAUGCACUGGUCUCACUGAUUCCUCCUUCCUGAUGAACCGUAAUGCCAUUAAUUUGGUGUUGCGGGGAGACUGGACUGUUACUUUGAAAAAAUUGAGUGUUUAAAGCAGGCUAACGCUUGAAUACAUUAGCAUGGAAUAACGGAAUAGGACGUUCGAUCUUAUUUUGUUGGUUUCUAAGAUUGACGUAAUGAUUAAUAGGGAUAGUUGGGGGCAUUAGUAUUCAAUUGUCAGAGGUGAAAUUCUUGGAUUUAUUGAAGACUAACUACUGCGAAAAGCAUUUGCCAAGGAUGUUUUCAUUAAUCAAGAACGAAAGUUAGGGGAUCGAAGACGAUCAGAUACCGUCGUAGUCUUAACCAUAAACUAUGCCGACUAGGGAUCGGAUGAUGUAAUUUUUAAUGAUCA
rnacentral:rRNA from 1 species